rnacentral:lncRNA from 1 species
AACAGUCAUUGAUGGAAGUCCCCUCGUCUCAGUAGGGAGGCUGUGGUUAAACCCUUCAGGAAAAUCUAUAGAUUAUAAUUCUAAAUUACAUAAAGAAAAACAGGCCUAUCUGAGAUUGUUCCACUAGGAUAGAUUCUCAGCUUUUUCAGUAGAAUACACUUCUCUUGUCUCUUAGCUCCAUCAAUCCAGGCAUCUAUUUCUCUUUCUAACCAAUUAAAUCCUCCGCUUCCUCCAACACAUUCCUUAUUGGCAGAAACCCACGAAGUCAGCGGUAAAAAGUAAGGAUCACCUCCAGUCUCCAUUCCACUAGGUUGGUCAUGGCAGCCUGGAGACCCGGACGGAAGCUCCUGGGCCUGUGUGUGGACUCAGGGAGGAGCGAUCGGAUUGCUUAGCUGUGUCUAGUCCACAAAGACCCAGGAGAGGGGUGGUGACAGUCCUGCCAGACGGCUUUCCAUACCCAAGGCUGUCGGCUGAGUUUCUUAACUGCUGUGCAUGCUCCUUAUAAACACUCUCCUUGAAAGCAGAGUUUAAGAUUAUUUUUAUCAAAUCAUAUAUUUUAAGUUCACUAAGGACAGCCUUAGACCUGCUCUGUCCUAGCAUUUUGCCCUUUACCACUAUCAUUGCAACAUCUCCCCCCCAGCUCUCUAUUACCAUUUGAACCCAUUUUUUUUUUUUAUAUUCCCUAAAACAGACUGCUGAGCUUAAAGAAUUACAGUAUUUGGUCCAAAUAACCCAGGAAGAAGCCACAUGCAUUUAUGUGUUAUAAAAACAGAGGUUCCUAGAAUAGCAUGCUCAGAAAUUAGGGAUGGCAGACAUCUAACAGGUCAUGGGUGGCCCUGUACAAUUUAGUUAAAUGCCUGGUAUUUUUACAGAAUUUCUUCUAACAUUUCCUAUUUUACUAUUUCAGUCACAUCUAUUAGGAAACUGCAUUUGCAUCUUCUAUGCAGACAUUUAGAAGGCCACUGCGUCACUGAGCUGAAGCUGGCUCCUUGCCUUGACUUUAGUUCUCAGAACAUUUUCUAAAGCAUCACCAACUUAUUCCUCUUGAAAAGCAACAAUAACACUUUUUUUUUUGUUUGUUUUUGUCUUUUGUCUCUUUAGGGCUGCACCUGCGGCAUAUGAAGGUUCCUAGGCUAGGGGUCCAAUUGGAGCUACAGCUGCCGGCCUACACCACAGUCACAGCAACACAGGACCCAAGCCGUGUGUUUUUGACCUACACCACAGCUCAUGGCAACGCCAGAUCCUUAACCCACUGAGAGAGGCCAGGGAUGGAACUUGCAUCCUCAUGAAUACUAGUCGGGUUCGUUAACCACUGAGCCAUGAUGGGAGCACCAGCAACAAUAACACUUAAUGUAAAUAUUUGCCCAGAAGGUGGUUUACUGAAGCAGUUUACAACACAUAAAAAAGAUAGAAGCCAUCUGAAUGUCUUAAAAAAAAAAAAAGAUUGAUAAAAUAAGCUUUUGUAUAUCUUUUGACCCAAUAGGAGGCCACCAUUAAAAAUGAUGUAGAUGCAAAUUUAUCAAUUGCAAGUAAUGGCCACAAUAAGGACUCAAAGAUGACAAAAGUAGAUGACAAAAUAGUAUGUAUUCUUGCCCUGAUUUUUGUUAGAAAUGAUUCGUUUGUUGGCUUUUCAAGUUCGCAGUGUCACGACAGUGAACAGUAGCUAAUGCUGAGAUGAUGGAUGCUUUGGGUUUUUCUUUUUCUAUUAUCUACACGUCCGAAUUUGUUUAUACGACAUGUAGUGCUUUUUAUUAACAGGAAAAAAAAUCUUUUGAACAGGGAAAAAAACCCUUCGUCUCUUUUUUCUUUAAUUUUAAUGCCUGGUUAAGAGGGGUCAAUCCCCGUGAGUUCAUUGAGAGACAGCCACUGAGAUAGGAACUUUACAAAUCAAUAUUUACCUUCCUGCUCACCUCAGCAUGUGUUAAUUGAUUACCCCUCUGAAGAAUUUUCUGGAGUUGAAUUGCAAAGGCCCCUGUGGGGGGUCUUGCCUGCAUCAGCAAAGGUGUUUUCUAGUUUUGUUAAUUCUGCCAGAUACAUAUUCUGACUCUCUCAAGCCCUGGCGGGUUUGUAUCCCAUUGAAGUAACUGACAUCCAGGUGCACACCAGGUAAAUAACUGUCCCCAAAGCGCCCCAAAAGGCAGGGUUGCAGUCCUCAGGCUGCCUGCAAACCCAAUCCCUCACUCCAAGGAUAAAGGAGACAGCUUCCCCUAUAAAGUUACCCUAUGGGACUGCAAGAUUGCUCCUCUGUUCCCCUAAGCUUUGUUUAUAUCCCUUCAAACAAAGGCACAGAAAGCCACCCUGGCAGAAAGGUGUGUCCAGCAGUGAGUGUUUCUCCCGAAGCUCUGUGCUGGGUGUAAGGUAACUCUUUCCCCUGCCCUCACCCCCUCUUUUUAAAACCCAACUGAUUACAAGUGUUGUUAAAGGUUACUGAACUAGAAAAACAAACCGCGCCAUGGUUGGUGCAUGGCUAAUUACAGACGGGACUGCGUUGAAAACAAUUGUUCUGGUACCUCUACAUUUCUCUGAGCCUCCAACAGGAAGUGGGCUGUUUCUCUUUGGCCACUCUUAAGAAAGGAUUACUGACAAUCUAGAAACUGCUAUCAGCUUUCUUUUCUAUCCCGAUCUAAUACGAAACCAUUUCUCCAGUAUCGGCUUUCCCAACAAAAGUCUUUAGCGGCUGACAUUGCAUCAUAACAACUGACUCAACAGAUUGGAGCCCGAGGUACCUGCUCUCUCCUGAUCAUAUUCCAGCGAAGGAUAUUGUCUGGGGCUGGUUGCGAGAGGAGGAUGGAAGAAGGAGACCAGGGCUGUGCAGCAUGGCCCCCACUCAGAGCAGAGCUUAUAAGUUAGCACCUUGAUUCUUCUCCUUGUCAUUGUCCCUUGUGUGUUUCAUGGUGACGCCACUUCGUGGGCUCUGCCUCAUUGGGUCUGCUGCCAUCUUCUGAAGUUUAAAAUGAAUGGGUUGAAGAAAUCAAGCUGGUUUGACAUAAUUCAUGGUGUGCCCCCCCCUCCCGUGAGAGGAAUCAGAAGUUAUCUGUAUUUUGUAACCGCUCUGAGGAAGCUCCGUUACCAAGAACAGCAGAACCACCCCUCACCUGCUUGGUGUCGCCCCGCCAUAUUUCACUUGUCCAUGGACCCCCCAAGCUUUGAAAGUACCAGCUCACCCUUUCCGCAGCCGUCCUCAACCUCAGAUGAUUGUUAAAAGAGGACCAAAAAGAAAACGAAAGCCCCCUAGUCCUCCCACUAACCCUGGAGGUGACAUGGAAAAUGCGGGAACACCUGGCCUUGGGCUUGCUGCGCAUUUGCUGUGGAAACAAUCUGUUCGGAUUUAACGAGAAAUGACGUCAUCAAGCCUUUGUGGCCAUCCCUUUCAGCCGCUUGAUCCCAGGGGUCGGACUUUCUCAGAUCAGAAUACAACUUCAGGUCUGACAAAGGACAUUUUCUACACACCAGGAAAUCGAGCUUACGGAGAUAAAAAUCGUCCCCAGAAUAAGGCUGCUGACCACUGCAGCAGGGCCAUCUGGUCAUCGUGCCAAGCCCCCAUACUUUCGGAACACCCCAUUCUUGCCAAAGGGCCAACGCGCUAUAAAAUGCUUUAAAAACAUUGUAUUUUAACAAUGCUGAGCAGCCAAAACGGUUUGCUUUUAAUGGCCAUCUGUAGAAAGUCUCUUUUUAUUUAGGAAAAACUAUUUUAAAUUAAAUAUCAUAAGCCCACGAGCCAUAGCAAACAAUAUUUUGGACCAUAUGCUCUGAAUUAAUAUGCCAAACAUUGCAACCUCUAUUUUCUUCGUAGAAAGGGGGCCCGCCCUGACGUGGGGAUGGGGGAGCCCAGAGGGAGAGAGAGGAGGAAUUUUCAAUAAGGCCACGGAGGAGAAGAUGAUGGCAAGGAACCAGAGCCAGGCUUCGCCAGAGUCAUCUCUCUGCUGAAUUAUCUCAAUACAGAUUCACUUCCUUUUUAAAAAAGAAAUUCCCUUUGGUCCAUUUUUCUUCCUUGUCUGGAAACUUCAUACCCGGGACUUCUAGCACUGUUGGCCACGCUUUCAAUGACUUGGGAAAGUUGUGUAAUUCUUUUCAUCUGUUGCUGGCCUCCUUCCUGGGUGAUAGGGUUUGGAAAUGAGUUCCUUUCAUCAGGUGCUGCGCAGAAAUGGAAACUUGGAGACUGAAGUCUUCCUGUGGGUGACACUGCCCCCAGGGAAUGUCCUUCCUGCCCUCCUCCAGUUCCUUCGGCAGCUCAGGGCAGCCAGGCUACCUUGGGAGGCUG